UCUGUGACUUUUUUAAAGAGUAUUUUGUUUUUGUCCUGGUGUGCUAGAGUCCUCAGAGAGAAUCUGCUGGUCUUGAUUCACUGGCGAGGGCAGUCAGUGCCCCCGGUAGUGCCCAGAUCAGAAACAUGC